rnacentral:rRNA from 1 species
AUUGAACGCUGGCGGCAGGCCUAACACAUGCAAGUCGAGCGGGGUUUUCGGACCUAGCGGCGGACGGGUGAGUAAUGCGUAGGAAGCUGCCCGAUAGAGGGGGAUACCAGUUGGAAACGACUGUUAAUACCGCAUAAUGUCUACGGACCAAAGUGUGGGACCUUCGGGCCACAUGCUAUCGGAUGCGCCUACGUGGGAUUAGCUAGUUGGUGAGGGAAUGGCUCACCAAGGCGACGAUCUCUAGCUGGUUUGAGAGGAUGAUCAGCCACACUGGAACUGAGACACGGUCCAGACUCCUACGGGAGGCAGCAGUGGGGAAUAUUGGACAAUGGGCGCAAGCCUGAUCCAGCCAUGCCGCGUGUGUGAAGAAGGCCUUCGGGUUGUAAAGCACUUUCAGCGAGGAGGAAGGGAUGUAUGUUAAUAGCAUGCAUUUUUGACGUUACUCGCAGAAGAAGCACCGGCUAACUCUGUGUCAGCCGCCGCAGUAAGAC